AUUGAACGCUGGCGGCAGGCCUAACACAUGCAAGUCGAGCGGUAGAGAGGUGCUUGCAUCUCUUGAGAGCGGCGGACGGGUGAGUAAUGCCUAGGAAUCUGCCUAGUGGUGGGGGAUAACGUUCGGAAACGGACGCUAAUACCGCAUACGUCCUACGGGAGAAAGCGGGGGGAUCUUCGGACCUCGCGCCAUUAGAUGAGCCUAGGUCGGAUUAGCUAGUUGGUGAGGUAAUGGCUCACCAAGGCGACGAUCCGUAACUGGUCUGAGAGGAUGAUCAGUCACACUGGAACUGAGACACGGUCCAGACUCCUACGGGAGGCAGCAGUGGGGAAUAUUGGACAAUGGGCGAAAGCCUGAUCCAGCCAUGCCGCGUGUGUGAAGAAGGUCUUCGGAUUGUAAAGCACUUUAAGUUGGGAGGAAGGGUA
rnacentral:rRNA from 1 species